rnacentral:rRNA from 1 species
GAUGAACGCUAGCGAUAGGCCUAACACAUGCAAGUCGAGGGGCAUCACAUGAAGUAGCAAUACGGAUGGUGGCGACCGGCGCACGGGUGAGUAACACGUAUGCAACCUGCCUUCAACAAGGGGAUAACCCGUUGAAAGACGGACUAAUACCCUAUAACACAGGGGUCCCGCAUGGGAAUAUUUGUUAAAGGACAACCGGUUGAAGAUGGGCAUGCGUUCCAUUAGCUAGUUGGCGGGGUAACGGCCCACCAAGGCAACGAUGGAUAGGGGAACUGAGAGGUUUAUCCCCCACACUGGUACUGAGACACGGACCAGACUCCUACGGGAGGCAGCAGUGAGGAAUAUUGGUCAAUGGACGCAAGUCUGAACCAGCCACGUCGCGUGAAGGAAGACGGCCCUACGGGUUGUAAACUUCUUUUAUACGGGGAAUAAAGUGCCCCACGCGUGGGGUUUUGCAUGUACCGUAUGAAUAAGGAUCGGCUAACUCGUGCCAGCAGCCGCGGUAAUUACUGACUCA